GACGAACGCUGGCGGCGUGCUUAACACAUGCAAGUCGAACGGAAAGGCCCUGCUUGCAGGGUACUCGAGUGGCGAACGGGUGAGUAACACGUGGGUGAUCUGCCCUGCACUUCGGGAUAAGCCUGGGAAACUGGGUCUAAUACCGGAUAGGAGCCAUUUUUAGUGUGAUGGUUGGAAAGUUUUUUCGGUGUAGGAUGAGCUCGCGGCCUAUCAGCUUGUUGGUGGGGUAAUGGCCUACCAAGGCGGCGACGGGUAGCCGGCCUGAGAGGGUGGACGGCCACAGUGGGACUGAGAGACGGCCCAGACGCCGACGGGAGGCAGCAGGGGGGAAUAUUGCACAAUGGGCGCAAGCCUGAUGCAGCGACGCCGCGGGGGGGAUGACGGCCUUCGGGUUGUAAACUCCUUUCGCUAGGGACGAAGCUUUUUGUGACGGUACCUAGAUAAGAAGCACCGGCUAACUACGUG
rnacentral:rRNA from 1 species